UCAAAUGCGUCGAAGAGAAGAGUAGCUAACGUUCAUUCUUUGCAGAAAGCUCCGGUUGCUGAAAAGGAGUAAGAAUGCGUUAUCGAAACAAGUCUCUGAGCAUCACUCCGGAACCAGCAAUGGGGAUAGAGUGACAGGAGCUCCUGUUAUAGAGCCAGGGUAUACGCAUCUAUUUGCCGUACCUGAUAAGGUUACGAUGGAAACAUCGUAAUAAACUGGGGUGGCACCACGAUUGAUACAAUCUCGUCCUCAAG
rnacentral:ncRNA from 1 species